rnacentral:rRNA from 1 species
AAGCUCGUAGUUGAAUUUCGGGGUUAGUAGGUUGGUCAUGCCUCUGGUAUGUACUGGUCUCACUGAUUCCUCCUCCCUGAUGAACCGUAAUGCCAUUAAUUUGGUGUUGCGGGGAAUUUGGACUGUUACUUUGAAAAAAUUAGAGUGUUUAAAGCAAGCUAACGCUUGAAUACAUUAGCAUGGAAUAAUGAAAUAGGACGUUCGAUCCUAUUUUGUUGGUUUCUAGGAUUGACGUAAUGAUUAAUAGGGAUAGUUGGGGGCAUUAGUAUUCAAUUGUCAGAGGUGAAAUUCUUGGAUUUAUUGAAGACUAACUACUGCGAAAGCAUUUGCCAAGGAUGUUUUCAUUAAUCAAGAACGAAAGUUAGGGGAUCGAAGACGAUCAGAUACCGUCGUAGUCUUAACCAUAAACUAUGCCGACUAGGGAUCGGAUAAUGUUAAUUUUUUAAUGACUCAUUCGGCGCCUUACGGGAAACCAAAGUGUUUGGGUUCCGGGGGGAGUAUGGUCGCAAGGCUGAAACUUAAAGGAAUUGACGGAAGGGCACCACCAGGGGUGGAGCCUGCGGCUUAAUUUGACUCAACACGGGGAAACUCACCAGGUCCAGACAUAGUAAGGAUUGACAGAUUGAGAGCUCUUUCUUGAUUCUAUGGGUG